ACCACCAUUUUCCCCAAAACUCAGACCAGGUUCAUCAAUCCCAUGUAUGUACGAGGAUAUAUGUGUUUAAUCAUAUUCUCGUACAUACAUACAUUGGUACCACAAGUUAGGCUUUGUUAAUUUUCUUUAGCUUAUACAUAUAUACGUAUUAUAUAUGCAGCUAGCUAGCUAUAAAUAGUAGGCCUCUAUUGCAUCGCCAAGAAACCAAAACAUAGCAAAGGUAAAUCAUUAAGAGAUCAUGUCAGUUGUUACCUGGAGUUCCCCUGAAUACUUCAUUGGGGUAGUUAGUAUCAAGAGUCGAGACCCUUUUUAAUUAAAAAUUAAUUAAGGGUGAGUAGCUCAAGUAUUUUGGUUUUAUCCCACUGAAGUGUUUGGGGGAACUCUGGGUGCCAUCUGGUUGCAGUAGUACUACUUAUACAUUAUUCAUCGUCAACAAGAAUCGAAGAAUUGCAUCAUGCUGCUGGGCUAUACUUCAGCAAUUAUGGGCGAUUUAGAGAAUGAGGGGAACCAAACUGAACAUGACGAGCCAACUAAUUGGUUGGUCAUCAUUUGGCAGUGGCUGUUCUCAUUUCUCUAGUGGUCUCUUCAAGCGUGAAAAGCGCAGAGCUGAGUAGUCAAAACUUCUUGAACUGGCGAGUGCAUCGAUUAAUUUGAGGCAAGCACCAUAGCCAGGCGUAGGCAUAGGAAGUGAAAGUGUGUAGUUUGAGGUAGCUAGCUAAAAUUCAUUUGUAUAUAUGAAUAUGGGACUGAACCACGUAGUUCCUUCAAUAUGCAUGAGUAAUUGUAGAUCGAAUAAACCUAAAAUCCAAUUAGGGUUGAGUUAAUUCGAUCCUCUUAUUGAGUUAUGAACUUAUGAUUAAUACCAACUUCUAUUUUAUUUUUCUA